AUUUAAGUAGUUUAAAGAAAAUAUUGAUUUGUGGUAUCAAUGAUAUAAAAUAUUAUCUUAAGUU
rnacentral:tRNA from 1 species